UACGGAGGGGGGCUAGCGUUGUUCGGAAUUACUGGGCGUAAAGCGCACGUAGGCGGCUUUGCAAGUUAGAGGUGAAAGCCCGGGGCUCAACUCCGGAAUUGCCUUUAAGACUGCAUCGCUAGAAUUGUGGAGAGGUAAGUGGAAUUCCGAGUGUAGAGGUGAAAUUCGUAGAUAUUCGGAAGAACACCAGUGGCGAAGGCGACUUACUGGACACAUAUUGACGCUGAGGUGCGAAAGCGUGGGGAGCAAACAGGG
rnacentral:rRNA from 1 species